rnacentral:lncRNA from 1 species
UGGCAGCAGUGGAGUUCCUUAACUUUUCAUUUCUCUUUGGCUUUUCACUCAACUUUUUGCUUUUCGAUUUUGUCUCUUAGCUUCUCCUUGCGUCUGUCUGUCUGUCUCUCUCUCACACACACACACAUUCAAAGUAACCUCAUUUUUAGGUUUUUUUUUUUUUGUAGUGGUUGCCCCAAAAGAAAUCCUCUCCACUGGAGCUGGUGCCUGUCACCACAGCCCAUCACUUGCCUGGUGGGCUUUCUCAUUGCAGCAAUAGAUAUAAAAUACUCCUGACUGGCUGUGUUUAUGGGGCCUUUUCAUCCUCCUGUUGGUUUCAAACACAAAGAAAAAUGGUCUCUCUCCACCGUGCCUGGUUUGAACAGCAGGUAAACUCCAGCAGCCUCCUCUCCAGCCUCUGAUGGAAAAUUAUUACAGAUGAAAUGUUUCCAUCAUGGAAAUGGUAAGAGGAAAGUUUUGGCUUAAAGGAUAUUUGUGCUGACAUGGAGGGGAGGCCGUAACACACAGUGGAUUCUGCCACCAAGACAGGUGUGACCCAAGCUGGCUUUGCAUUCCAGGCUGGGAAAGGGCAGAAGGCCGGGCAGCCUUUGCAGAGCUGAACAACACUGCCAAUAGCAAAGAUUAGAAUUUACCGGCAUGAAAUUUGUUCUCAGGUGAACUGCUGGAUUUCACACCUCUUACUGCUUUAUCUGGCAGAGUUAGAUCCAAGUGAAAUCUCAGUGUCGAUAGGCAUUGAUUCUGCAGGCUCAUUCCCAUGCAGCAUGGACACUGGUUAACCUUCUCGGACCAGGAGCAGCAUUUGGCAAGUUGCCCCAGCCAGCAGUCUACAGUCUGGAAAGGCAGCCAUCCUGGAACAGUGGGAUGCAUUUAAGUCAGCUUUGAGGUGUGGUGCACACAAGGCAGGGACCUGGCAGAGCAUUUGUGGUAGGGCUUGUACAACCUGCCCUGCCCUCCUCCUGGCUCUCUCCAGAGCUAUCAGGCUCUUGUUUUUACAGCCACCCUAGCUAUCCUCGAAACAGUAAAAGAAAAGGAGAAAAUCUCAUAAAAAAUUGCCUCCUUACUGUCAUAACCUUGAAAUGACAGAUGGGCUCCAGAGGAAAGAUGGUCUCCUGAGGUCUCCCUGGGUGAUGGCAGGUGAUAGUGGGUAGACCACACCACCUUCACACCCUGGAGGCAGGUGAUGGAUGCAGACACUUGAAGGGGCAUCUGAGUAUAUUCAUUUGCAUUUAGUAUUUAUUUUUUGAGAGCCUGCUAGCCUACUAAGGCAGUGUGCUCA